rnacentral:rRNA from 1 species
GAUGAACGCUGGCGGCGUGCCUAAUACAUGCAAGUCGAACGAACAGAUCAGGAGCUUGCUCCUCUCACGUUAGGCGCGGGCGUGUGAGUAACACGUGUAUACCCUACCUAUAAGACGGGGAUAACUUCGGGAAACCGGCGCUUAUACCGUAUAAUCUAUUGAACCGCAUGGUUCAAUAGUGAAAGACGGCUUUGCUGUCACUUAUAGCUGGAUCUGCGCCGCAUUAGCUAGUUGGUAAGGUAAUGGCUUAGCAAGGCAACCAUGCGUAGCCGAACUGAGAGGGUGAUCGGCCACACUGGAACUGAGACGGGGUCAAGACGCCUACGGGAGGCCACAGUAGGGAAUCGUAGGCAAUGGGCGAGAGCCUGACAGAGCAACGGGGCGUGAGUGGUGAAGGUCUUGGGAUCGUAAAACUCUGUUAUUAGGGAAGAACAAAUGUGGAAGGAAAUAUGCACGGCGUGACGGUAACUAAUCAGAAAGCAACGGCUAACUACGUG